rnacentral:rRNA from 1 species
AUUGAACGCUGGCGGCAGGCCUAACACAUGCAAGUCGAGCGGAGCGGCCGACGGUUGAGUAAUUCCUAUGAAUCGGACUGUUAGUGGGGGAUAACGUCCGGCACCGGGCGCUAAUACCGCAUCCUAUCAGUUGAGCCUAGGUCGGCUUAGCUAGUUGGUGGGGUAAAGGCCAACAAAGCCGACGAUCCGUAACUGGUCUGAGAGGAUGAUCAGCCAAACUGGAACGGAGACACGGUCCAGACUCCUACGGGAGGCAGCAGUGGGGAAUAUUGGACAAUGGGCGAAAGCCUGAUCCAGCCAUGCCGCGUGUGUGAAGAAGGUUUUCGGAUUGUAAAGCACUUUAAGUUGGGAAGCGUUACCAACAGAAUAAGCACCGGCUAACUUCGUGCCAGCAGCCGCGGUAAUUC